AGCCGGUCCCCUGUGUGGCGAUUCGUUGUGAACCCGGUCAGGUCCGGAAGGAAGCAGCCGCAGCAGCUACAUUGGGUGCAUAGGUGUGGCUGGCUGGU
rnacentral:SRP_RNA from 1 species